UACGUAGGGUCCAAGCGUUAUCCGGAAUCACUGGGCGUAAAGCGCGCGUAGGUGGAUUGUUAAGUGCGGUGCGAAAUCCUGUGGCUCAACCAUAUGGACUGUAUCGCAUACUGGCAAUCUAGAGGACAUGAGAGGCAAGUGGAAUUACUGGUGUAGCAGUGAAAUGCGUAGAGAUCAGUAGGAACACCAAUGGCGAAGGCAGCUUGCUGGCAUGUAUCUGACGCUAAGGCACGAAAGCGUGGGGAGCGAACAGG
rnacentral:rRNA from 1 species